rnacentral:rRNA from 1 species
CCUACGGGUAGCAGCAGUGAGGAAUAUUGGUCAAUGGAUGGAAGUCUGAACCAGCCAUGCCGCGUGCAAGAAGACGGCUCUAUGAGUUGUAAACUGCUUUUGUACAAGGGUACACCUGAAUACGUGUAUUCAGCUGACAGGACUGUACGAAUAAGGAUCGGCUAACUCCGUGCCAGCAGCCGCGGUAAUACGGAGGAUCCAAGCGUUAUCCGGAUUUAUUGGGUUUAAAGGGUUCGUAGGCGGAGUGAUAAUGUAGAGGUGAAAUGUCCGAGCUUAACUCGGGAACUGCCUUUAAUGCUGUUGAUCUAGAGAGUAGAUGCGGGAGGCGGAAUGUAUGGUGUAGCGGUGAAAUGCUUAGAGAUCAUACAGAACACCGAUUGCGAAGGCAGCUUACCAAUCUAUAUCUGACGUUGAGGCACGAAAGCGUGGGGAGCAAACAGGAUUAGAUACCCGAGUAGUC